UAUUUAGAAAGUUACUAAUCUAUGAUCAAUUUACAUAAUAGCCUACAACUUAGAUCAUCAAAGUCAUUUUUGAGUUAGUUAUGACUAGCUAAUAAUGGCUUAUCGUAAUAUGUAUUUGGAGUGGCGUUAAUCGCACUAAUGGGGCGAAGAUCAAUGUAUACUAUAAAAUUUACGCAAUCAUAAAAUACUGAACAUGACAAAACUAAAGAAUCGGAAGAUGUCAAAGGGAAAACUUUUACAAGGAAAAUUUUAAUAAGAAAGAUAAAGAAGACAAAAAAUUUGAUAAUAACAAUAAUAAUUAUGCAGAAAAGUUAACAAUGACGAAGAAUGAUUAAAGUAAUUUUAGUUUCAAGUAUGUAUCAAGUGAAUCAUAAUGGAAUUACCUCGCACAGAUCAUCGUUUCCAUUGACCACAGUCACUUUGUCCGCGCCUCUAAUUAUUAUUAUCAGCUUUUAACAUGGCGUCUUUAUAGUUGAAUUUUCAUCAACGCUGCUCUAGAGGAAGAUAUCGAUGAA